rnacentral:lncRNA from 1 species
CUCUCUCUUUGCCUACUGCCAUCCAGGAAGACGUGACUUGCUUCUUCUUGCCUUCCACUAUGAUUGUGGGAAGGCCUCCCCAGUCAUGUGGAACUGUAAGUCCAUUAAACCUCUUUUUCUUCCCAGUCUCAGGUAUGUCUUUAUCAGCAGCAUGAAAAUGGACUAAUACAGUAAAUUGGUACCAGUAGAGGGGGGUGCUGCUGGAAAGAUACCUGAAAAUGUGGAAGCAACUUUGGAACUGGGUAACAGGCAGAGAUUGGAACAGUUUGGAGGGUUCAGAAGAAGACAGGAAUAUGUGGAAAAGUUUGGAACUUCCUAGAGGCUUGUUGAAUGGCUUUGCUCAAAAUGCUGAUAGUGAUAUGGACAAUAAAGUCCAGACUGAGGUGGUUUCAGAUGGAAAUGAGGAACUUGUUGGAAACUGGAGCAAAGGUGACUCUCAUUAUGUUUUAGCAAAGAGACUGGUGGCAUUUUGCCCCUGCUCUAGAGACUUGUGGAACUUUGAACUUGAGAGAGAUGAUUUAGGGAAUCUGGUGGAAGAAAUUUCUAAGCAGUAAAGCAUUCAAAAGGUGACUUGGGUGCUGUUAAAGGCAUUCAGGUUUAUAAGGGAAGCAGAGCAUAAAAGUUUGGAAAAUUUGCAGCCUGACAAUGUGAUAGAAAACAAAAUCCCAUUUUUCUGAGAAGAAAUUCAAGCUGGUUGCAGAAAUUUGCAUAAGUAAUGAGAAGUCGAAUGUUAAUCCUCAAGACAAUGGGGAAAAUGUCCUCAGGGCAUGUCAGAGUUCUUCACAGCAGCCCCUCCCAUCACAGGCCCAGAGGCCUAGGAGGAAAAAGUGGUUUUGUUGGCUGGGUCCAGGGUCCCCAUGCUGUGUGCAGCCUAGGGACUUGGUGCCCUGCAUCCCAGCUGCUUCAGCCAUGGCUGAAAGGGGCGAAUGUAGAACGUGGGUUGUGGCUUCAGAGGGUGCAAGCCUUGGCAGCUUCCACAUGGUAUUAAGCCUGCCAGUCCACAGAAGUCAGGAAUUAGAGUUUGGAAACCUCUGCCUAGAUUUCAAAGGAUGUAUGGAAAUGCCUGGAUGUCCAGGCAAAAGUUUGCAGCAGGGGCAGGGAUCUCAUGGAGACCCUCUGCUAGAGCAGUGCAGAAGGGAAAUCUGGGGUCAGAGCUCCCACACAGAGUCCCUGCUGGCGCACUGCCUAGUGGAGUGGGCACUGUGAGCAGAGGGCCACUAUCUUCCAGACCCCAGAAUGGUAGAUCCACUGACAGCUUGCACCAUGUGACUGGAAAAGCCACAGACUAUCAACGCCAGCCUGUGAAAGCAGCUGGGAGAGAGGCUGUACCCUGCAAAACCACAGGGGCGGAGCUACCCAAGACCAUGGGAACCCAUCUCUUGCAUCAGUGUGACCUGGAAAUGAGACACAGACUCAAAGGAGAUCAUUUUGGAGAAUUAAGAUUUGAGUGACCAGCUGGAUUUCAGGUGCUGUGUGAAGAAUGGAAACAUGCAACAAUAAAGACACCAGUCCUGGUGGACCUGAUGGCCUAUGUCUGGUGUGGCGGGGGACAGAUAAGUAAACAGAUCGUCCUAUACGGGGUAGCCAACGCUAUCAUCUGAUAGAAGUAAGCAUGAGGUACCAGUCAAGUAUGCAAGUAUCUGUGCAUGAGAUGCUAGUCAAGUAUUUGUGUGUGCAUGUUUGAAGGCUUCCUGGAAGAGAUCACUGAAACUCUAAGAGUAGGUAGCCAGGUUAAGAAUGGGGGCAGAGCAGGAUAUCUGAGGCAGUGGAAGCAAUUUGAGCAAUGUGUGGAGUGGAGAGAGAACCUGACUUGUUUGAUAAGCUUGGAAGGUUAAGCAUAGCUAGAACAGGGUAUUGGAAGAGUUUUAUAGAGGAAAAGAUGACUAGAGGUAGGCUGCCAGAUGUUCUCUCCCAAAAUAUUUGACCAUCAGUGUAGCAGGGCAGAUAUUAGUGUGAUUAUGAAAACAUAUAUGUGUGUGUGUAUAUACAUAUGUAUGUAUAUUUAAAUGCAUUACAUAUUUCAAUCAGUGAUAUGUGUUUUUCUAGGUAUCUUUUUGGCAUAUUUUUAAGAAACACAUUUCGAAAAUUAAAUGUAGGUGUGAACCCUUCGCCACACCCAAAGAACCAUUCUUGACACUCAUGCAGAACAUUUUAUGCCCCAGUUUGAAUAUCUGACUUUGGUUUAUCUCACUGAUACCUGUAGCCCCUCCAAAGUAGUGGUAGACAGAGCUGAGACAAGAAAUUUCACAGCUUUUUCCUAUUGUGGAACAAACAAUCUGAGUUUAAAACAUAUUGACUUACUGAAUUAAAGUAAGUCACUCCACCUCUUAAAGACUCAGUCACACAUCCAAUUUUCCAGGGGCCUGUGGCCACUGAGUGUCACAGAGUGUGGAAGGCUGUAGGGGCCAGUCCAGAGGAGAGACCACAUGGCCUGAUUGCCCAGUAGAAAUUGAUAUUCACAAAAGAAUGCUGGCUCAAAAAAAUAAAUUGAAAAAAAAAAAAAAACCCCAGCAACACAGUGAACAGGUGGCUUAGUAUGGCUGGCCGUGCUUGCACUUUUUAAUGACCUGAUUUGUUUCCAAAAUUUGUUUUAGGUAAUGUAUUAGUCUGUUCUCAUGCUGCUGUAAAGAACUACCCAAGACUGGGUAAUUUAUAAAGAAAAGAGGUUUGAUUGACUCACAGUUCCACAGGCUGUACAGGAGGCAUGGCUUGGGAAGCCUCGAGAAAUUUACAAUCAUGGCGGAAGGCAAAGGGGAAGCCAGCAUGUCUCACAUGGCAGGAGCAGGAGGAAUAGAGAGCAGGAGGAGGUGCUACACAUUUCAAAAAGCCAGAUCUCAUGAGAACUCACUCACUAUCAUGAGAACAGCAAGGGGGAAGUCCGCCCCCAUGAUCCAGUCACCUCCCACCAGACCCCUCCUCCAACACUGGGAUUACAAUUUGACAUGUGAUUUGGGUGGGGACACAGGGUCAAACCAUAUCAGGUAACAAAACUCCAGUCUCAAAAAUGGUAAGUCAAUUUUAUUGCUAUUAUAAUUCUUAAAACUGGUGUUGAUGAUGAUGAUGAUAGCAGUUAUUUGUACAGUAACAUGCCCAAGACAAAUCCCAAGAGAGGAACAUAAACAAAAUCAAGUGGGGAGAUUUGACUUUGCCCAAGUUCUUCUCAACUAGAAAUUUCUAAAGGUGUUUUGUGUGGAGUGCUGCGCUAUGUGCAGUUUUCAGCUAUUCAACCUCAAGGAUGUCAAAUUGUUGGAAGAGAUUCAAAGAAGGAUAAUCAAACUUGGAUGGAGCUGACUUAAAGAAAUGGGCUAACCUCCAGAAAGAAUGCCAUUGAAUCCAGAGAGAGGUGCCGUUGAAUCAGCCCUUGCUGAUGAAGCCUCUUCACUGUACUGCUCAGACCUCUCCAUCCUGGUGGCAAGGGCUUAGACCAUUAUUCAUGGUCUGACUGGCCUCGAGGUGGCUGUCUCGCCUUUGAAAAAGGGCAGACACAGAGCAUGUUCAGAGCACGGAGCCAUACUGUGCGAUUUCUUCAAAGAGAGCUUAACCACAGAAUUUGGAUUAAUGAAUGACGUAACUGCUUCAGGGCAACACACCCUCACUGCAGCUGCUUAGCCCAGGAAGCAGCAAGGUCAAUACAAGGAGAGCCACAGGCCUGGGGAGAUGCAUGCCUUCCUUCCUGGCCACGUGGAUCUCACUACUUAGCCCAGAUGGCCUGCGAGAAGGACAAAGCCAAGCACUUCACAACACUGUCAGUUGCUGUCCUGAAGAAGGUGGCCAGGAGCUCUAGAAGGAUUCAAAGCCCCAGGGAUUUUUGGUUUUUAUGUAUACACUUCUCUUUACAUACUUGUUCCUCAACAUCCAAUCAGCCUUGCAGGUUUGUCCCCGCUCCUAGCAUUCAGAAACACUCAAGAGCAGGGUGGGUCAGAGCUCUCCACCACAUACGCAGCAGAGUGAAAGAAGCUGCCCUGCAGGACAGCUCCAGGCUCAUGGCCACCCCUCCUCACAUGCAUACCUCCUCCUCUUCCACCAAACAACAACAAACUCCUUCAUGUAGCAUUCACGCCCUCCUCUUGUGGCCUCUACCUGCCAUCCCACACCAAUCCCUUUUUAUGUCCCCACAGGUACCCAGGAGUCUCCCCUAACUAAAUUCCCCACUGCUUCUCCAAAUCACCCCAAUCCUACUUCCCACUGAAACUAACAAGAAGGGAAGGAAGGUGUUAACAAAUGAAGUCUUCGAAGGAAGUCACCCCAAGAAUCUGGGCCUACUAGUCAUUCCCUAAGGCUCAGCUCUUGGCAUUUGCUUCGUUCCCUGGGCCAUUAUUUUCAUACUGUGAAGAAAUUUCACCCUAGUCCCAUUUUGGAGAGCAAGUGUUGGUACAGUGCUGGGUAAAGACCCUGACACCAGGUCCUGGUCCCUGGCCCAGAGCAGGGGAUAUGAAGGGAAGCCCCACUCACUGUGUGCUCCCUCACUGACUCCUCAAAGGAAUUCCAGGAAGGGUGCUUUAGUGACCCUUUGGCUCACAGAGUUAGAGUGACCUGCCCAAGGCCACCCAGAGAAUGAAUGGUGGGACUGAGAUCACACCUGGGCCUGCCUGGCUGCCAAGCCUUUUGCUAUUUUCAUUAUUCCACAUUUCUUUCCAAGGAUACAGAAAGCAGGGAUAGGAAGUGCUGUGGAAACAAGCAAAAAGCCUUAUCCAUAGUCAGCAUCCAAAAAGUACUAUACCUUCUCUGACCCCUGCUUUAUUUAUUUGUUUAUUUUCAGGGAUGAUGUAAUAGCCAGAAAAAUAAGUGAACAGAAGAUUCCGGGUUCUACUUUAUGCCAAUUUUUCUUAAAUAUCUCAGUCACUAGAAAAAGAUCUAUUUGAAAAUCUUGCUCUGAGCAGUUUCUGUCUUGGGCCCAGUUGUUUGAGGAGCCUGUUGAAUUUUUAAAUUUAUUAGUGUUCCCAUGCUUCAUUCAUUGGCAUAUAUGUAUAUUCUCUAUACUUUAUAAUUACAAGUAAGCUCUUGAUAAUAAAAAGUAACUGUCAUUCUGUGAAGCUCUUUAAUGCAGCCAAAGAUAAUUUCAGGGGGCAAUUGGCAGUCUAAGUCCUUGCUUUCUCUCAUUUUAAAGGAGAACCAAAUCAACUUAGAGUGAAUUUGUUCAAAUGUGGGUAAGAUUUAACAGGCACUUCAGCUGCCCAGGGUACUUUUCCAUGUCUCUCCAACCAACCCCACCCAAAUAGCUUAGGAUUGGCAUUUUCUGAUGAGCACAGGGAUAGAGAAUGAGAACGGAGUCAGGUCCUCAGGUAUUCAAGGUUAGAAUUCCUUCUUAACCUUGCCCACUAUGCCCUAUGUGGGGACAUGCUACAGCAGAGAUCACUUGAGAAUUAUCCUGUGGCUCACACUGCCAUAAUUAGUUAUCUGUUCGGCACCUCUCAACUAAUCAGAACAAUGGCACAUCCAAAAGUAAAAGGAGAAGAAAGGAGACAAGAAUACAGCGACUGAAUAAUAAAAUGGGUGAAUCAGUUAGCAGAGCAAAAGACAGCACAGUCAUAGGCUGGCUAAGGUUAUACUUUUUGUUUUUUAUUUUAUUUUUUAGGCAGAGCAAGACAGUCUUGCUCUGUCACCCAGGCAUAAGUGCAGUGGCAUGAUCUCUGCUCACUGCAACCUCUGCCUCCCGAGUUCAAGUGAUUCUCAUGUUUCAACCUCCUGAGUAGCUGGGAUUACAGGUGUGCGUAACCACGCCUGGCUAAUUUUUGAAUUUUUAGUAGAGACGGGGUUUCACCAUGUUGACCAGGCUGGUCUCGAACUCCUGACCUCAAGUGAUCCACCCGCGUCAGCUUCUGAAAGUGCUGGGAUUACAGGCAUGAGCCACCGCACCUGGCUAGCUUUAUUAUUAAGCCCUGUCAGCACCCACAAAGAGAAGUACUGGGAUGGCACAGACAGCGGAGACAGUGACAAAGACCAAGGUUAAGGCUGGAGUUAUGUGGAAAAAGAAAAUGGAAUGAGACCAAGCAAUUGGGGAUGAAGAAUAAAAAGCAGAACCAGUGACAGCAGGGAGCAGAGAUCAGAAGGAACAAGAAGAUACUCUGGAAGAAUACAACCAAACAAGAAAAAGAAUGAAUUGUAUGUGAACAUUGAGUUUAGGGGCAAGCUGACUGUCUUAGCCAGUUCAGGCUGCUGUAACAAAACACCAAAAACUGGGUAGCUUUUAAAACAGAAAUGUAUUGCUCACAGUUCUGGGGGCUGGGAAGGUUAAGAUGAAGCUGCUAGCACAUUCAGCAUCUGUUGAAGACCUGGUUCACUGAUGGCGCCUUCUAGCUGUGUCCUCACAUAGUGAAAGGGGGUGAAUGAGCUCCAUUGGGCCUCUUUUAUUAGGACAAUAAUCCCACUCAUGAAGGUUCAUGAUCUUAUCACCUCCCCCAAAGCCCCACCUCCUAAUACCAUCGCUUGGGAGUUGAGGAUUUCAACGUAUGAAUUUUGGGAAGGACACAAACAUUUAGAUUAUAGCACCAGCUUACAAAUCUCAAUGGCUCCUGAGGUUGGCAUCACGGGAUUAUAGAAAAGCACCAUAACUGAGGCUUAGCAUGAGGCUGAGUCAUAAAGAGCAUUUAAAGUCAUGAAUGUGUUAUAUAUGGAAGACCACAGAGAUGUGUCAUAAGUUUUAGAUGGAUUUUGAUACAGUAUAGUUGAAAUUUAGAUUUUAUCAGUAAAAGCCUAAGCAUUGAGCUAUUUGCAAGGAUAACCAGUUUCCAACCAUCCCAGAUAACUAAAGGAUAGUCAAAAAAUCACUAUCCAAAGGCUAUUGUUGUUUCCAAAGGCACAGAGAUGUAAAAGUGGGGCCACCUUAAGAAAAAGACAUGGAUUCCUAUUGCUGGAUCAGAGGGUCCAGGGGGAGGGGUGGAGGUGGUGUGGAAUCGCAAAGCUCGGGAGACACUGAAUGCAUUGAAACAAGGGUGUGUCUUGAGCUACUUACGUUUUGGAAAUACAAUACUGGCAGGAUACUAUAGGAGACUGCAGUGGGAGAAAAAUUGUCCGCAGGACCAAGAAUAAGCAUACUGGAAAAUUGGAAUAAAAAACAACUAAGAUUCAGGAGAGGGUCAUGGAGGAAAGAAAAUGAGCACCAUGGAACAGUUGCCUGAGAAGACAGGCUCAGGUCAUAAAGACACCUGCCACAUACAGGUGUUUGAGUGUUAAAUACAAUACCUGCAAAGUUCUUAGAAGAGCACCUGACACACAGGAAGUCCUCAAUAAAAGGUAACUAUUGUUAUUGUUUUUAUUAAAUCAAUUGCAAAAACCAUGCCUUCCUUUUGUGUAAAUAUAAAAACAACAGCAUAAAGUAGAUGUGCUAAAGCCAAGUGAGUAGAUUUUUGUUUAAAAAGCACUCUAGUGGAGUUAGGAGAACGGUAUGAUGAAGGGCAGCCAGCAACUGAAAGCAUUUCCUGCAAGAAAAGGGACUUUACAACAAUUAGCCUUUCGGUAAGUUGAUGCUUAUAAUUUGUGAAGGUCUUUCACAACCAUUAUUUCAUUUGUGCUUUGUAAAAUCUAAAGAGGUUGAAAGAAGAGGAGAGACAGCAGAGGAUGGGGCUGAAAAUGUAUAAUCUUUGGAGGUGACAGCUCUGGCUUGAAGUCCUAACAGACAUUUAUUACCUGUGUGUGAUCUUAAUCAAGUUACAUAACCUGCCUGAGCUUCCAUUUUCUACAGCCAUAAAGUGGAGAGAAAAUGAGAUAUUGUAUGUAAAGCUCUUAGCACAAUGUCUGGAACGUGGUCAGUGAGCAAUAAAUGUAACUAUUAUUGUUGUGAAUAAACCAAGCCUCUGAGUUUGCACACAGCAAGGAGCUGAGCUGUGCUUUGAGCCUCGCCUGGUUUUCUAAGCCCAGACCCAUUGAUUUACUUGAUUAAGUUCUCACAAAUCUCAGAGAGUUAACAUUUUAUCACAAUCCAUACUCGAAUUUCUUUAAACCCUAUUAAUUUACCCAUAAAACCUUGCUUUCCAUUGUCAAGAAUAAGCACUUUGAAACUUGGCUAACCAGCUAUGUUGAUAAAAUAGCACGCCAGUAGAUGCCAUUGUGCUUGAAUUAUUUAUCUGGAAACGACUUCUGGCUACAGCACGAGUUGAUUCCUUAGGUGCUUAGUUUGGAUCACGUAGUUAAACUUACCAAGCAGCUGUUGGUGCUGAAGGCUGUGAAUGUAGCGGGUCUGCAGGGCCUCCCACUGGGGCCUGGAGUUGUAAAUCCUCAUAAUGCUGUAAAAGUAGCGCUGUUGCCCUUGGUUGAGGGCCUGUUGGAACAGAACAGGUGAUUUUGAUGAGUGUGUGGAGUUCCACAGCAUUCAAAUUGUGAUACUCAAAGCAAACUUUUAUGGAAAUAAGAGGCUUUUCUUGCUAACCAUAUGUUUUUUUUUUUUAAUGUGCAACAAUUGGAAAAUAACAACUGGGGAGUUUCCUCUCUUCAUUUGCUUAAACAGUCUUCUGCUAAUCUGUAUGAUGAUGAAAAUAUGCUGGAGCACAGUGGUGCGACUAUAGCUCACCGCAGUCUUGAACUCCUGGGCUCAAGCCAUCCUCCCACCUCAGCCUCCUGAGUAGCUGGGACUACAGCAUUAUUCUACUGGCUUCCUUUCUUUCUCAAGUGUCCUCCUUCUGAAUGCCAGCUUAUCUGCAAAGAUGAAGAGUUCCUAAAGAAAAGGGAAGAAGAAAUAUCAAAAGAAAAUACAUUCAAAAUUCUUAGGAGACUAAGGGGAAGAAAAAAGCAGGGAGAUGAGAGUGAUGAAUCAUAUGCCUUAAAGAAGAAAGGGCUCAACAGAUGCAAAAGUCUUGCAUUUUUUCCCCAGUAAUUUGAAUGCAGACCUCCUGGGAAAUAAGCACAGCACAAACAAGUGUCUUUAAAUGCCAGUAAAUAACAUAAAAUCUUUCACUGGAUCUGAGAGGUUGAUGAUUCUUUACCAAGAGAUAAAGAACAGUGGUGUGCAGAGUUGACAUUGUCAAUCGAGUCUUCCUCAAACGUUUUUCCAGGAUAUGAUGAAAUUCAUUCUGGGUGCACUGCAUCUGCUGAUGUUGCACACACAUGCUGAAAUUCCUACCAGCUUGCCUUGGACGCUACUCAAUCAGGAGAACAGUAACAGAUCUGUGUUUGACAGAGGGCAUUUAAUGUAAGGAAUCUGUUAUGAAAAUAUAGAAAUGGGUUAGAGGAGUAAAACAAGAAGGGUUAGGUUAUCCAAGGACUGGCAAUUGCACUAAACUGUGAUUGCACAUAGAGCUGGAGGACAAUAGGGAAAAUGAUUUUACCCACAGCCCAUGGACACUGUGCCAUAGAGGCUGCUUCCUUUGGAGAACUGCUGCCUGAGCAGCGCCUCAGGAACCUGUGCUCACCAGGCACCCUUGCUUCUAUGUUCUUGCCCAAACUGCUAAUCUUGCUGUUGCUGUCACCACUGUUGCUGUCCAUGUGGCUGCUGCUGCUGGCACUGCCACAGGUGCAAGCAGAAAGUAUUUUUAAAAAAUGGCUUCUUCCCUCCAGCCUUCAUUCAUGUCCUGCCCUCCAUUGGAUGCCAGCUAGCAAGGGAUUUUGGGAAAUGUAUUUUGCAGUCUUCCUACUACUCUGAUAAACAGAAGGGUAUAGAAGAAUCAACAUGAGGCCGACAGAUGGUGGACACUCUCUAACACAAACACAAAUCUAAGAGGUACCUUUGGGACCUAUGAAGUCAGGCAGGAGGAUGAAGGACUUAGACAUACAGUCAAUGUUUACCUAACAUCACUGAAAGUUGUCAAUUUAUAAGAAAAGAGGAAAUAAGAUAAAACUAGCUAUGUAGAUGGUAUCAAAGAAUGAGAUCUAAAUUUGUAGACAUAUUUUAAAAUAUAAGAAUGAGGGAGUAAUGCAUAUCCUAAGUUUGGGACAAAAAAUGUUUUCCCAAAGACUAGUUUAACAUUUCAAAAAGGAUUUAAACUGAUUACAAAAAAAAUGGGAAAGAAACACCCAUAAUCUAAUUACUAUAGGGAAUACAAUGUCAACUAUUAGUAGAAAAGUUGUACUAUUUCACAGUUAAAAUAUUGGUACAGCAAUGAGACUCACUGCUUAAGACAUUGGCUGUUUAGAAGGUGGGUGAUAAAGUGUUUUCAUGGAAUAUCAGGGUAAAUGUGACCUCAUGAGUGAUACCAAGUGAGGAAGAGGGACUCCUGAUUGGAAUCCAAGAUGAAGUUAAACUCUAAUUCAAAGAAACCCACCUGCUAGAGGGAGAGUGCCACUGUACAUCAUGGAGGUACACACUUUCCCGAAAAACUAUGAACCCGGAAGGAAAUGCUCUGCUCACAUCCUUUUGCCAGGAUCCUCUUAGCUGCAGAGAUGUCUGUGAGGUUGUCUCUGCCAGGCACAGACAUGCUGCUUGACUAUCCAAGCCCUCAGAGGACCUCCAUGCUCCUUAAGGAAGAGAAGGCAGUGUCCCUCUCCCCACUCUACUGCUGUUUAUCCCCUGGACUCUACUUAGUCUUCUAGAGUCUUGGUUGAAUUUCAUUUCCCAUUGAGCUAUGUAGUCCCUUGAGCUCAAAUUUUUUGGUGGGGGAAGAGGAGUUAGUUAUUCCUAAUUAUCUUGUUUUUUCUUUGACCUCUUCAUAGAAAACCCCUACUUUUCUGAGAUUCCAAAACAAAAGCUGUCAUAUACACCAAACCUAUAGGAGCCACUGGUCACAAAAAUAGGGAUAUUUAGAGUCAGUCUUAGUUUGGAUUAUAAGAACCACUUUUAGUGAGUGAAAACUACUUGGGACACUUAGAAGCAGUGAUUAUCGGCAAAAGAAAAACUGGAUGUGGUCAGAUACGUGCUAAGACUUUGGAAAAACAGAUUUCAAACAAUUCGGGAAAAAAGUCUAAAGUGGACUUGAGAAGGGAAUAUCCAGAGAUUUAGUUUCAACCCUAUAAUCUCAAAUAAAAUCUAUAGAAGAAAGAGAUAAGAUAUCAAAAGAUUUGCAUUUCUCUGAUGGCCAGUGAUGAUGAGCAUUUUUUCAUGUGUUUUUUGGCUGCAUAAAUGUCUUCUUUUGAGAAGUGUCUGUUCAUGUCCUUCGCCCACUUUUUGAUGGGGUUGUUUGUUUUUUUCUUGUAAAUUUGUUUGAGUUCAUCGUAGAUUCUGGAUAUUAGCC